AUGACACUUGUUAGCUUGCUGUGUGCAGUCCUGGUCUCCAUGUGUCUGGGACCCAGUGUGGCCCAGACGGUCACUCAGCCUCAACCAGAAGAGUCUGUACAGGAGGGAGGCACAGUGACCCUGGACUGCACAUAUAGCACCAGUGACAGUGAUUAUUAUUUGUUCUGGUACAAACAGCCUCCCAGUGGGGAGAUGGUUUUCAUUAUUCGCCAAUAUGCUUAUGAACGACAGAAUGCAACCAACGAUCGCUACUCUGUGAACUUCCAGAAAGAAGCCAAAGCCUUCAGUCUCAGGAUCUCAGACUCCCAGCUGGAGGAUGCUGCAAUGUAUUUCUGUGCUUACAGUGGACCCAGUGUGGCCCAGACGGUCACUCAGCCUCAGCCAGAAGAGUCUGUACAGGAGACGGGCACAGUGACCCUGGACUGCACAUAUAGCACCAGUGACAGUGAUUAUUAUUUGUUCUGGUACAAACAGCCUCCCAGUGGGGAGAUGGUUUUCAUUAUUCACCAAUAUGCUUAUGAACGACAGAAUGCAACCAACGAUCACUACUCUGUGAACUUCCAGAAAGAAGCCAAAGCCUUCAGUCUCAGGAUCUCAGACUCCCAGCUGGAGGAUGCUGCAAU